rnacentral:rRNA from 1 species
CCUACGGGGGGCAGCAGUGAGGAAUAUUGGUCAAUGGGCGAGAGCCUGAACCAGCCAAGCCGCGUGAGGGAGUACUGCCCUAUGGGUUGUAAACCUCUUUUGUCGGGGAGCAAAAGACGGACGUGUCCGGCUGUGAGAGUAACCGAAGAAAAAGCAUCGGCUAACUCCGUGCCAGCAGCCGCGGUAAUACGGAGGAUGAGAGCGUUAUCCGGAUUUAUUGGGUUUAAGGGGUGCGCAGGCGGAUUUUUACGUCUGCGGUAAAAUCGUGGGGCUCAACCCGGUCCAGCCGUUGAAACUGGGGAUCUAGAGUGUGCGAGAGGUAUGUGGAAUGCGUGGUGUAGCGGUGAAAUGCAUAGAUAUCACGCAGAACACCGAUUGCGAAGGCAGCAUACCGGUGCACAACUGACGCUCAGGCACGAAAGCGUGGGUAUCGAACAGGAUUAGAUACCCGGGUAGUC